rnacentral:tRNA from 1 species
UGGAAUGUGGCUUUGUGGUAGAGUGCUUGCCUACCAUGCAUGAAGUCCUGGGUUCGAUUCCUAGCACCACAU